rnacentral:rRNA from 1 species
AGUGAACGCUGGCGGUAGGCCUAACACAUGCAAGUCGAACGGCAGCACAGGAGAGCUUGCUCUCUGGGUGGCGAGUGGCGGACGGGUGAGGAAUACAUCGGAAUCUACUCUGUCGUGGGGGAUAACGUAGGGAAACUUACGCUAAUACCGCAUACGACCUACGGGUGAAAGCAGGGGAUCUUCGGACCUUGCGCGAUUGAAUGAGCCGAUGUCGGAUUAGCUAGUUGGCGGGGUAAAGGCCCACCAAGGCGACGAUCCGUAGCUGGUCUGAGGUGAGUAUCAGCCCAACGGGAACUGAGACAUGGUCCAGACUCCUACGGGAGGCAGCAGUGGGGAAUAUUGGACAAUGGGCGCAAGCCUGAUCCAGCCAUACCGCGUGGGUGAAGAAGGCCUUCGGGUUGUAAAGCCCUUUUGUUGGGAAAGAAAUCCAGCUGGCUAAUACCCGGUUGGGAUGACGGUACCCAAAGAAUAAGCACCGGCUAACUUCGUGCCAGCCGCCGCCGUAA